CCCGAGCCCUGCCAGCCAAUGGCUCACACGGGAGGCCAGGGAGGGAUCACAGAGGGCUGCUAGGGUCAUACAGGCAAAAAACAAAGCCGCAUCUCGGCAGCAAGAAUGAAACAGACGUGGCCCAGCAAAGCCAACUAUUGCCUGCCGUCCUGGUGAACACAAUCGAGCAGAGCAGUGAAGCAAAAAUCAUUAGCAUGCUGACCCAAGAGAAGAGCCACUGCAGCCCAUGAGAGCACAGGUGCGCACGGACAUGAGGGUCUGCCUGACAGUGUGGUGUCUGUGGUACAACAGCCUGUGCCAGGCACGGCAUGUGCACAAUUCCCCCCCUCAGCAAUCCUGCAAGAUAGGUUCUGUGGUCUCUACUCUCCAGUGAGGAAACUGAGGCUCAGAAAAGGUAAGUUAAAUGCCCAAGGGAUUGUCAGGAAAUGUGACAGUUGGGACCCAAUCCAGUCCUGUUUGACUACAGCAGAAAUGUAUGCUAUGGCCUGGACUCUGCAAACAACUUUAUUUCGACUCCAGUGGGUUUCUUUCAGUGGUCCUAGACUUCAGACUUACA